rnacentral:rRNA from 1 species
AUGCAGUCGAGGGGUAUAGUUCUUCGGAACUAGAGACCGGCGCACGGGUGCGUAACGCGUAUGCAAUCUACCUUUUACAGAGGGAUAGCCCAGAGAAAUUUGGAUUAAUACCUCAUAGUAUAUAGCCCUGGCAUCAGGAUUAUAUUAAAGUCACAACGGUAAAAGAUGAGCAUGCGUCCCAUUAGCUAGUUGGUAAGGUAACGGCUUACCAAGGCUACGAUGGGUAGGGGUCCUGAGAGGGAGAUCCCCCACACUGGUACUGAGACACGGACCAGACUCCUACGGGAGGCAGCAGUGAGGAAUAUUGGACAAUGGGCGCAAGCCUGAUCCAGCCAUGCCGCGUGCAGGAUGACGGUCCUAUGGAUUGUAAACUGCUUUUAUACGAGAAGAAACACUCCUUCGUGAAGGAGCUUGACGGUAUCGUAAGAAUAAGGAUCGGCUAACUCCGUGCCAGCAGCCGCGGUAAUACGGAGGAUCCAAGCGUUAUCCGGAAUCAUUGGGUUUAAAGGGUCCGUAGGCGGUUUAAUAAGUCAGUGGUGAAAGCCCAUCGCUCAACGGUGGAACGGCCAUUGAUACUGUUAGACUUGAAUUAUUAGGAAGUAACUAGAAUAUGUAGUGUAGCGGUGAAAUGCUUAGAGAUUACAUGGAAUACCAAUUGCGAAGGCAGGUUACUACUAAUUGAUUGACGCUGAUGGACGAAAGCGUGGGUAGCGAACAGGAUUAGAUACCCUGGUAGUCCACGCCGUAAACGAUGGAUACUAGCUGUUGGAAGCAAUUUCAGUGGCUAAGCGAAAGUGAUAAGUAUCCCACCUGGGGAGUACGUUCGCAAGAAUGAAACUCAAAGGAAUUGACGGGGGCCCGCACAAGCGGUGGAGCAUG